AGGAGUGGGAUGAUGUCAAGUCAGCAUGGCCUUUAUAUCCUGGGCUACACACACGCUACAAUGGCCAACACAAUAGGUUGCUAAGCCGCGAGGUGGCGCCAAUCCAUAAAGUUGGUCUCAGUUCAGAUUGUAGGCUGCAACCCGCCUGCAUGAAGAUGGAGUUGCUAGUAACCGCAGGUCAGCUAUACUGCGGUGAAUACGUUCCCGGGGCUU
rnacentral:rRNA from 1 species